rnacentral:rRNA from 1 species
GACGAACAUUGGCGGCGUGCUUAAUACAUGCAAGUCAACUGAAGCAGUGGUAGCAAUAUCGCUGUGGAGGUGGCGCACGGGUGAGUAACACGUAGGUAAUCUGCCUUCAGGUCUGGCAUAACUCCGGGAAACCGGGGCUAAUAGCAGAUGAUGCAGCGGCUCGACAUCGAGACAGUUGUUAAAGCUAUGGCGCCUGAAGAUGAGCCUGCGUCUGAUUAGCUAGUUGGCGGGGUAACGGCCCACCAAGGCAACGAUCAGUAGCUGGUCUGAGAGGAUGAUCAGCCACACUGGAACUGAGACACGGUCCAGACUCCUACGGGAGGCAGCAGUAAGGAAUAUUGCUCAAUGGGAGAAAUCCUGAAGCAGCAACGCCGCGUGAGGGACGAAGGGCUUUUGCUUGUAAACCUCUGUAGUGAGAGAAAAAAAUCCCAAUCUUUGGGACAUGAUGGUAUCUCAAAAGUAAGCCCCGGCUAACUACGUG